UACGGAGGGUGCAAGCGUUAUCCGGAUUCACUGGGUUUAAAGGGUGCGUAGGUGGGCAGUUAAGUCAGUGGUGAAAUCUCCGGGCUCAACCCGGAAACUGCCAUUGAUACUAUCUGUCUUGAAUAUCGUGGAGGUAAGCGGAAUAUGUCAUGUAGCGGUGAAAUGCUUAGAUAUGACAUAGAACACCGAUUGCGAAGGCAGCUUACUACCCGAAUAUUGACACUGAGGCACGAAAGCGUGGGGAGCAAACAGG
rnacentral:rRNA from 1 species